rnacentral:lncRNA from 1 species
CAUGCUUAUAUCAUAGGGGCCCCAUUUGGGAUUGACGGUCAUCCAACAAUAUUAGCGCAAAAGUAUAUAAAAAUAUGAUUCUUCGUAUUUCAUUGAAACCGCGGAAGAUAUCCGCAAACAAACAGCAUCUUUUUCUAGUCGUCUUUUCCCACUGCAUGUAACACAAUCUAACUGUAAUUCCAAAUAGAGCAUUAGACACUCUAUAUCCCCUUGCUUUUUAAAAUUUUCUUUC